rnacentral:rRNA from 1 species
AACGAACGCUGGCGGCAGGCUUAACACAUGCAAGUCGAGCGCCCCGCAAGGGGAGUGGCAGACGGGUGAGUAACGCGUGGGAACCUACCCAAAGGUACGGAACAACCAAGGGAAACUUUGGCUAAUACCGUAUACGCCCCAAGGGGGAAAGAUUUAUCGCCUUUGGACGGGCCCGCGUUGGAUUAGCUUGUUGGUGGGGUAACGGCCUCCCAAGGCGACGAACCAUAGCUGGUCCGAGGAGAUGAACAGCCACACUGGGACCGAGACACGGCCCAGAAUCCUACGGGAGGCAGCAGUGGGGGAACUUGGACAAAGGGCGGAAGCCUGAUCCAGCCAUGCCGGGUGAGUGAAGGAGGCCUUAGGGUUGUAAAGCUCUUUCGGCGGGGACGAUAAUGACGGUACCCGCAGAAGAAGCCCCGGCUAACUCCGGGCCAGCCCCCGCCCGUAAUAC